rnacentral:rRNA from 1 species
GUGAGGAAUAUUGGACAAUGGGGGGAACCCUGAUCCAGCCAUGCCGCGUGUGUGAAGAAGGCCUUUUGGUUGUAAAGCACUUUAAGCGAGGAGGAGGCUACCGAGAUUAAUACUCUUGGAUAGUGGACGUUACUCGCAGAAUAAGCACCGGCUAACUCUGUGCCAGCAGCCGCGGUAAUACAGAGGGUGCAAGCGUUAAUCGGAUUUACUGGGCGUAAAGCGCGCGUAGGUGGCCAAUUAAGUCAAAUGUGAAAUCCCCGAGCUUAACUUGGGAAUUGCAUUCGAUACUGGUUGGCUAGAGUAUGGGAGAGGAUGGUAGAAUUCCAGGUGUAGCGGUGAAAUGCGUAGAGAUCUGGAGGAAUACCGAUGGCGAAGGCAGCCAUCUGGCCUAAUACUGACACUGAGGUGCGAAAGCAUGGGGAGCAAACAGGAUUAGAUACCCUUGUAGUCC